AUGGCGACCGGCGCACGGGUGAGUAACACGUAUCCAACCUGCCGAUAACUCGGGGAUAGCCUUUCGAAAGAAAGAUUAAUAUCCGAUGGCAUAGUUCUUCCGCAUGGUAGAACUAUUAAAGAAUUUCGGUCAUCGAUGGGGAUGCGUUCCAUUAGGUUGUUGGCGGGGUAACGGCCCACCAAGCCUUCGAUGGAUAGGGGUUCUGAGAGGAAGGUCCCCCACAUUGGAACUGAGACACGGUCCAA
rnacentral:rRNA from 1 species